UUUUACAUUGAAAUUUAAUAUGAUCAUCACUAUUCUCCAAUUAUGUCUAAUUAAAAGAUAUUAUUGAAUAUAUAACAAAAGUAUCAGAAUUGCCAGGCCGUGGUGGCUUAUGCCUUUAAUCCCAGCACUUGGGAGGCAGAGGCAGGUGGAUUUCUGAGUUUGAGGCCAGCCUGGUUUUCAAAGUGAGUUCCAGGACAGCCAGGGCUACACGGAGAAACCUUGUCUCAAAAAAACCAAACAAACAAAAAACAAAACAAAACAAAACAAAAACAACAAAAGUGUAUCAGAAAAUUUUAUUUAGUUAAUCUAUUAGUAUGAAUGCAAUUUAAAAUAUAUCUUACAUAACACCUAUGGACAGUAUAUGAAAAAUGUGGUUAUUUAUGGCACAGUGUCGUAUAAACUUGUCAUACUUCAAACUUAUUUAUUUGUAAAGUGUAAAAGAAUUUUUGUACAUUGUGACAUUACAGAGCAAAUUUAAAAUGUCUGUAAAUUAAAAAUUUACAAAGUGUUUUAAUUCAGGUGUGAGACUUUGGGGACCCCUGUUGAGUUUGUUUUUCCUAAGUGCAGAAUAUAUUUGAGACAGUUGCCAGGAUUUUCUCAGCACAUGAAUCUUCUCAUAGCCAAGAUAAAUUCUUUUUCUUUAUUAAUUUUAUUAGGGCAAAGUAUUAGCUGGGAAAUGGAAAGUUGAUUUAUGUCCUUGUGUAUUUGUCAAGGAGAUAUGAAAAAUCAUUUCACUACAUAUUUUCUGGGGCACCAGUAGACCUUACCGUCUACUUUCAUGAAUCUCUAAAACUCAGGAACUCAGGCUUCUGCUUUCUUUUCAAGCUCUGGUCCCACACAAACUUUCAAAUACCCAUCUCUAAUUUACAUUGUAGACUGUCUUAUUCACUUCCUCUUGCAGUGAAGGGAUUCCUUGACCAUAGCAACUCUGAUG
rnacentral:lncRNA from 1 species